UGGGGGAUAUUGCACAAUGGGGGGAAACCCUGAUGCAGCGACGCCGCGUGAGGGAAGACGGUCCUCUGGAUUGUAAACCUCUGUCUUCGGGGACGAAACGAGACGGUACCCGAGGAGGAAGCCACGGCUAACUACGUGCCAGCAGCCGCGGUAAUACGUAGGUGGCAAGCGUUGUCCGGAAUUACUGGGUGUAAAGGGAGCGUAGGCGGGCAGGCAAGUCAGGCGUGAAAGAUAUCGGCUCAACCGGUAGCUGCGCUUGAAACUGCAGGUCUUGAGUGAAGUAGAGGUUGGCGGAAUUCCUAGUGUAGCGGUGAAAUGCGUAAAUAUUAGGAGG
rnacentral:rRNA from 1 species